CAAAACUUUCAACAACGGAUCUCUUGGCUCUCGCAUCGAUGAAGAACGCAGCGAAAUGCGAUAAGUAAUGUGAAUUGCAGAAUUCAGUGAAUCAUNGAAUCUUUGAACGCACCUUGCGCCCUUUGGUAUUCCGGAGGGCAUGCCUGUUUGAGUGUCAUG
rnacentral:rRNA from 1 species